rnacentral:rRNA from 1 species
UAGGGAAUCUUCGGCAAUGGGGGGAACCCUGACCGAGCAACGCCGCGUGAGUGAAGAAGGUUUUCGGAUCGUAAAGCUCUGUUGUUAAGGAAGAACGAGUGUGAGAAUGGAAAGUUCAUGCUGUGACGGUACUUAACCAGAAAGGGACGGCUAACUACGUGCCAGCAGCCGCGGUAAUACGUAGGUCCCGAGCGUUGUCCGGAUUUAUUGGGCGUAAAGCGCGCGCAGGCGGCUACUUAAGUCCAUCUUAAAAGUGCGGGGCUUAACCCCGUGAUGGGAUGGAAACUGAGAAGCUGGAGUGUCGGAGAGGAAAGUGGAAUUCCUAGUGUAGCGGUGAAAUGCGUAGAGAUUAGGAAGAACACCGGUGGCGAAGGCGACUUUCUGGACGACAACUGACGCUUAGGCGCGAAAGCGUGGGGAGCAAACAGG